CUGAAAAUUUUGUUCCCCCUCUGUUGGAUGCAGUUCUCAUUGAUUAUCAGAGAAAUGUCCCAGCUGCUAGAGAACCAGAAGUGCUUAGUACUAUGGCCAUAAUUGUCAACAAGUUAGGGGGACAUAUAACAGCUGAAAUACCUCAAAUAUUUGAUGCUGUUUUUGAAUGCACAUUGAAUAUGAUAAAUAAGGACUUUGAAGAAUAUCCUGAACACAGAACGAACUUUUUCUUACUACUUCAGGCUGUCAAUUCUCAUUGUUUCCCAGCAUUCCUUGCUAUUCCACCUACACAGUUUAAACUUGUUUUGGAUUCCAUCAUUUGGGCCUUCAAACAUACUAUGAGGAAUGUCGCAGAUACGGGCUUACAGAUACUUUUUACACUCUUACAAAAUGUUGCACAAGAAGAAGCUGCAGCUCAGAGUUUUUAUCAAACUUAUUUUUGUGAUAUUCUCCAGCAUAUCUUUUCUGUUGUGACAGACACUUCACAUACUGCUGGUAAGAAUUUAAUACGAUUUAAAUGUUAAGUGCCAGCCGGGCACAGGGACUCACGCCUAUAAUCCCAGCACUUUGGGAGGUCGAGGCGGGGAGAUUAUGAGGUCAGGAGUUCGAGAACAGCCUGGCCACCAUGGUGAAACUGUCUGUACUAAAAAUACCAUAAAAAAAUAAAAGAUACAAUAAAAAUACCAGGCAUGGUGGCAUGUGAUUGCAAUCCCACCUACUCGGGAGGCUGAGGCAGGAGAAUGGCUUGGACCCAGGAGGCAGAGGUUGCAGUGAACUAAGAUCGCGCCACGGCAUUCCAGCUUGGGUGACAGAGCGAGACUCCGUCU
rnacentral:sRNA from 1 species